rnacentral:rRNA from 1 species
AACGUAGGAGGCAAGCGUUAUCCGGAUUUACUGGGCGUAAAGCGCGUGUAGGCGGUUUGGAAAGUUGGAUGUGAAAGCUCCUGGCUUAACUGGGAGAGGUCGUUCAAUACUUCCAGACUAGAGUAUGGUAGAGGGAGGUGGAAUUCCGGGUGUAGUGGUGAAAUGCGUAGAUAUCCGGAGGAACACCAGUGGCGAAAGCGGCCUCCUGGACCAUUUCUGACGCUCAGACGCGAAAGCUAGGGUAGCAAAC